rnacentral:rRNA from 1 species
UGGGGAAUUUUGGACAAUGGGCGAAAGCCUGAUCCAGCAAUGCCGCGUGUGUGAAGAGGCCUUCGGGUUGUAAAGCACUUUUGUCCGGAAAGAAAUCCUUGGCUCUAAUACAGUCGGGGGAUGACGGUACCGGAAGAAUAAGCACCGGCUAACUACGUGCCAGCAGCCGCGGUAAUACGUAGGGUGCAAGCGUUAAUCGGAAUUACUGGGCGUAAAGCGUGCGCAGGCGGUUUGCUAAGACCGAUGUGAAAUCCCCGGGCUCAACCUGGGAACUGCAUUGGUGACUGGCAGGCUAGAGUAUGGCAGAGGGGGGUAGAAUUCCACGUGUAGCAGUGAAAUGCGUAGAGAUGUGGAGGAAUACCGAUGGCGAAGGCAGCCCCCUGGGCCAAUACUGACGCUCAUGCACGAAAGCGUGGGGAGCAAACAGGAUUAGAUACCCUGGUAGUCCACGCCCUAAACGAUGUCAACUAGUUGUUGGGGAUUCAUUUCCUUAGUAACGUAGCUAACGCGUGAAGUUGACCGCCUGGGGAGUACGGUCGCAAGAUUAAAACUCAAAUGAAUUGACGGGGUCAUAGCUGUUUCCU